GAUUAUUAAUUGUCUUUAUUUUUUCAAAUGUGCAGCCUUAUUCAUACUAUCUUUUGUUAGAAAAAUGAAAGAAGAGAAGACAUAGAAAUGAGCUUGGUAACUACCAUUCUUGUAGGUGGAUUUGCCAAAAUGGAAAAUGUAGACACUUUUGGGUUGCCAUUUCAAUUGUCUUCUUUGUUGCUGCUACAUUAUUUACUCUACUGAAACUUUGUGAUUUAAUCUUCCCCAGGUUGUAAAGUAUAUUUUGG